GCCCAGCCAGUAUGGUGAAUAUGACGCUUGGCUUGUAACCAAGUGGGUUUGAGUUCGAAUCUCGAGUAAGGCA